rnacentral:rRNA from 1 species
AAUUUAACCGAGACUAAAAUGCAUUGCUAAAUACAAGAAUACUUGACCAACCAAUACUAACUAAUGAGAGAUACACCUUAAAUACCUUCAGGCCCAUCUAGAACCACAAAGUAUAAUCACGCACACACUUACAUAUAAAACAAACACAAAAUGAACGAUAAAAGCAAGAAUAAAACUUCU